rnacentral:rRNA from 1 species
UCCUGGGGGGCCUAUACUGCAGUCGAACGCACUUUCGUUAAUUGAUUUUGAGAUGCUUGCAUCGAAGAUGAUUUUAACUAUAAAGUGAGUGGCGAACGGGUGAGUAACACGUGGGUAACCUGCCCAGAAGUGGGGGAUAACACCUGGAAACAGAUGCUAAUACCGCAUAACAAAAUUAACCGCAUGGUUGAUUUUUAAAAGAUGGCUUCGGCUAUCACUUCUGGAUGGACCCGCGGCGUAUUAGCUAGUUGGUGAGAUAAAGGCUCACCAAGGCAGUGAUACGUAGCCGACCUGAGAGGGUAAUCGGCCACAUUGGGACUGAGACACGGCCCAGACUCCUACGGGAGGCAGCAGUAGGGAAUCUUCCACAAUGGACGCAAGUCUGAUGGAGCAACGCCGCGUGAGUGAUGAAGGCUUUCGGGUCGUAAAACUCUGUUGUUGGAGAAGAACGUGUGUGAGAGUAACUGCUCAUGCAGUGACGGUAUCCAACCAGAAAGCCACGGCUAACUACGUGCCAGCAGCCGCGGUAAUACGUAGGUGGCAAGCGUUAUCCGGAUUUAUUGGGCGUAAAGCGAGCGCAGGCGGUCUUUUAAGUCUAAUGUGAAAGCCUUCGGCUUAACCGAAGAAGUGCAUUGGAAACUGGGAGACUUGAGUGCAGAAGAGGAGAGUGGAACUCCAUGUGUAGCGGUGAAAUGCGUAGAUAUAUGGAAGAACACCAGUGGCGAAGGCGGCUCUCUGGUCUGCAACUGACGCUGAGGCUCGAAAGCAUGGGUAGCGAACAGGAUUAGAUACCCUGGUAGUCCAUGCCGUAAACGAUGAAUGCUAAGUGUUGGAGGGUUUCCGCCCUUCAGUGCUGCAGCUAACGCAUUAAGCAUUCCGCCUGGGGAGUACGACCGCAAGGUUGAAACUCAAAAGAAUUGACGGGGGCCCGCACAAGCGGUGGAGCAUGUGGUUUAAUUCGAAGCUACGCGAAGAACCUUACCAGGUCUUGACAUCUUCUGCUAACCUAGAGAUUAGGCGUUCUCUUCGGAGACGAAUGACAGGUGUGCAUGGAUGUCGUCAGCUCGUGUCGUGAGAUGUUGGGAUUAAGUCCGCAACGAGCGCCACCUCAU